rnacentral:rRNA from 1 species
GAUGAACGCUGGCGGCGUGCCUAAUACAUGCAAGUCGAGCGAACGGACGAGAAGCUUGCUUCUCUGAUGUUAGCGGCGGACGGGUGAGUAACACGUGGAUAACCUACCUAUAAGACUGGGAUAACUUCGGGAAACCGGAGCUAAUACCGGAUAAUAUUUUGAACCGCAUGGUUCAAAAGUGAAAGACGGUCUUGCUGUCACUUAUAGAUGGAUCCGCGCUGCAUUAGCUAGUUGGUAAGGUAACGGCUUACCAAGGCAACGAUGCAUAGCCGACCUGAGAGGGUGAUCGGCCACACUGGAACUGAGACACGGUCCAGACUCCUACGGGAGGCAGCAGUAGGGAAUCUUCCGCAAUGGGCGAAAGCCUGACGGAGCAACGCCGCGUGAGUGAUGAAGGUCUUCGGAUCGUAAAACUCUGUUAUUAGGGAAGAACAUAUGUGUAAGUAACUGUGCACAUCUUGACGGUACCUAAUCAGAAAGCCACGGCUAACUACGUGCCAGCAGCCGCGGUAAUACGUAGGUGGCAAGCGUUAUCCGGAAUUAUUGGGCGUAAAGCGCGCGUAGGCGGUUUUUUAAGUCUGAUGUGAAAGCCCGCGGCUCAACCGUGGAGGGUCAUUGGAAACUGGAAAACUUGAGUGCAGAAGAGGAAAGUGGAAUUCCAUGUGUAGCGGUGAAAUGCGCAGAGAUAUGGAGGAACACCAGUGGCGAAGGCGACUUUCUGGUCUGUAACUGGCGCUGAUGUGCGAAAGCGUGGGGAUCAAACAGGAUUAGAUACCCUGGUAGUCCACGCCGUAAACGAUGAGUGCUAAGUGUUAGGGGGUUUCCGCCCCUUAGUGCUGCAGCUAACGCAUUAAGCACUCCGCCUGGGGAGUACGACCGCAAGGUUGAAACUCAAAGGAAUUGACGGGGACCCGCACAAGCGGUGGAGCAUGUGGUUUAAUUCGAAGCAACGCGAAGAACCUUACCAAAUCUUGACAUCCUUUGACAACUCUAGAGAUAGAGCCUUCCCCUUCGGGGGACAAAGUGACAGGUGGUGCAUGGUUGUCGUCAGCUCGUGUCGUGAGAUGUUGGGUUAAGUCCCGCAACGAGCGCAACCCUUAAGCUUAGUUGCCAUCAUUAAGUUGGGCACUCUAAGUUGACUGCCGGUGACAAACCGGAGGAAGGUGGGGAUGACGUCAAAUCAUCAUGCCCCUUAUGAUUUGGGCUACACACGUGCUACAAUGGACAAUACAAAGGGCAGCGAAACCGCGAGGUCAAGCAAAUCCCAUAAAGUUGUUCUCAGUUCGGAUUGUAGUCUGCAACUCGACUACAUGAAGCUGGAAUCGCUAGUAAUCGUAGAUCAGCAUGCUACGGUGAAUACGUUCCCGGGUCU